GGUCCGGGACUCCCGCCCGCCCGUGGAGAGCUGCUUCCUGCGGAGUCGCACCGCCACCCAGGAGGCAGGCUUCAUCCCAUUUACCCAGCGUGUGGAAGGGGCCAGCCCAGCAACACGUGGCCGGUGAAUGACCAAGCCAAUCUGUUCGACUCCAGCAUCCUCGGUCCUCCCAGGAUGCUGCACGGGGGGAGACGCUGAGAGUGGCGAGGCUGGGUCUGGAGGCCAAGCCCGCAGCCCUGGGGCUCUCCCGACGUGAACGUGGAGGUGGGGCCCCUAAGGUGGGGGCCCCACGGGCCGCGGCCCUGGGUCUGGAGCCUCUGCCCCCUCCCUGGCUUGCCCUUUUUGGGCCUCAGCCGACUUUCUGACAAAGGGAAGGAGGUUUGCUGUGGAUUUCAGCCAGCUGGGCUCCUGACUGUGUUCCUUCCGUGUGAGGCCUCAUGCUCAGCACCUGGGAAGGGGCUGCAGGAUGUGGUUUCCCCCUGAGUAAAAGGAGCCACUCAGUUCUUGGAUAAGAAGGUCUUGGGAGAACCUGGCUUCUUUUCCCUGCUUCAGCCCAUCCCAGAGAGAUCAAGCUCCCCCAUCUUGAGAGACGCCGAGAAGAAUUCUCCCAGCACCUCCAGUCGUCUCUUCAGCCUCUGAACAACCAUCAUUAUCAGGAAAUCCUUCCGGCUACCUAACCUGAGUUGAACAGGCAGGGCCCGAGGGCCGCUUUCCCCACAGCUGGCCUAAGCAGAUCUCUGGCUGGAAGGACUGGGUCAGCCAUUGGGGAGUCAGAAGCAUUUUUAAAUUUUUCCCAUGACCUCUCAUUAGAUAAAAACAUCUUGUCUUUGUCCAGAUCUGAUCUUCACACUGUCUGGUUUUGAGCAGACUGGAGUGAGGCAUAAAUGGCCUUCUGGAGAGUCAUAUGGCAGAUUCUCCCAAUAUUGUAAAUGUCUUUGCCCUUUGCCCCAGAAACUUUUUCUGGAACAUUUCUCCAGAAAUACCUGUAUGUGGGCCCUGAGGUGGACCCACAGGGAUGUUCGUGCCAGUGUUGUUUAGAAGUGAACAAAAGAAAACCAUCUGUGUGCCCAUCGGUGUGGAAGGAUUAAAGAGAUGGUGCUGCUGCCAAGACGCAGAAGCUUUUCAAAGCCCCAGGAGCUGGACAUCAGAGGAGGGUGAGGCGUCGGAAUAGAAAUGAUCUCCCCGUGCUGGGUCAGCACUUCCUGCCGGCUGGACUUCUGCUGCUGUUUCCUGUACUAGUCCCCGGGGGGUAAAGGGAAAGCACCCCCUCCCACCUCUUCCAGACAUAGACCGAGACAUUCUGAGGUUGUGUUAAAAUGCUGGUGGCAGACAGAGAUGAAUAAACCGAGGCUUGUGGUUGUUGAAGUCUCUUGCUGAAGGUCGCACAGUGGUAGCCGGCAUUUGAACCCACCCUGACUCCAGUGCUUCAGGCUUACUCUGCUCUGUCCUGCUGUUGUCUCCCUGUGUGGUGAUGGCUCUUCUCUGGGGAGGUGGCUUUUUGUGCAUUGGCUGAUGUCAUCUUGGAGGGUGAAGACAUCAAGCAGACAGUGAGGAAGAGCCACUGAUGAGGGGUGUGCUCCACAUCCAUCUUCUGGCUGGGGCUGGAUCUUAUCUGCAGGGGCCCCUAACUCUACCAAGGUUCAGUGGGAUCUAGAAGUCUUCUGUCCUGUCAUGAGGAUGGACACAGAGUCUGCACACCUGCCUCAAGUUCAAGGGUCCUAAAGAGGUGCCUCUCAUUUGCUUGGCUUUUAAAGAACACCCUGUGGUAGAAACAUCUUGUUCUGACAAGACAGUGUGAGAUUCUAAAACUGCAUUUUGAUGUGGUCCCAAGAUCCAGGAAUAUUAGGAAAGGUUAAAUUAGAGAUGUGGUCGGAGCUGUGGUUUGAUGCUUUGAAGGUGGGAGAGAGGCAGAGGACCUCAGCGGAGCUCAAACUCCCACUCCCAAGCUGUGUCAUCUGGGGCAAGUCACUUCACCGCUCUGAGCCUCUGUGCUCCCUCCAGCCCUCCACCCACUCACCCAUCUACCUAUCCACUUAUCCACAAACCUACUAAUCUACCCACGCCCCGACUCACCCACCAAUUCAUCCAUCCGUCCAUCCAUCCAUCCACUCGAUGAGCAUUCAUGGAGGCCCUAGUAAGUUAAGAACUGUACCAGAUGCUGGGUCCCAUAAUUAAGACACUGCCAUGGAAACCCACACAAUUAUUAAUAGAAGAAUGAAUUACAGACCAUCACAUAUGGGAAGCUGUGUAGUUGUUAAUAAGAAUAAGGCAGGUCUAUAGGAACUGAUGUGGAAUGACCUCCAGAUAUAUGGCUAAGAGGAAAAUAAAGAUGCAGAGUACGUGUGUAUGCUGUCAUCUGUAAAAAAGAGAAAAAAGGGGAUGGUCUAUUUAAACAUGUGUGCUUGGAUAUGCCUAGAAAAUUUCUGGUAGGACACCUAAGAAAUGAGUAUCAGAGAUUGCCUCUGAUGAGGGAGACUGGAGAAUUAGGAAGGAACUUUGUAUGUCACUCUGUUCCAUUUCAUGGUGCUUGAAUUAAAAAAAAAAAGUUAUCUAUUUAAAAUUGAGACAAAAAGUGAUUUAAAAAAAAGUCUCUGAGUAAUGAUACAGAAAGACAAGAAAACAGCAAAUUACAAUGCUGCUCAUAUGUAUGUGAUUAGGGAAGCAGAGGGGAUUGUGGGAGCAGAGAGGGGCAGCCUGAGGGAAUCAGGGGAGGCUUCCCAGAAGAGGUGAUGCCUGACAUGAGGCUCUCUGGCUGAGUGUAGAUUAAGGGAAGAUGCCAGUGAGGGCAUUCCUUGGCAGGAGGAACUGCAUGAGCGAAGGCGGACAGGUGAGGUUCAGUGUGGCUGGAGCAAAGCCAUCAGUGUAGUGGGAAGUUUGGAAUUUGUCUGAAGCACAACAGGGGGCCAGGGAUAGGUUUAAAGAGUAGUGACACGGUCGGAGUUUUGUUUAGAAAGACUUUCUGGCAGUCAUGUGGGGAAUGGAUCCCAGCAGUGAGGCUGGAGGCAUCGAGACCAGUGGGGAGGCUGGGAGAAAGAUGGUGGAGGCCUGGACUAAGGCAGAGAGAAAGGGGUGGGAGAGCUCUUUUGGAAAUGGGAAGUGCCACUUCUCACAGGACUGUGGGCAUCCACUGAAAUAAUUUUGGCAGAUGGCUCUGCAAAGUGUACAGUGGUUCUCACCCUGCGUGCACACAGGAAACUCUGGGGGAGCUUUAAAAACACUCGUGCCCAGGCCCCACCCCAGGAUAUCAGAUUUAAUCAGGCAUCAGGAUUAAAUUGGGCUCCCAGGUGACUCUGAUGCACAGCCAGAGUGAGGGCUACCAGGCUUGGUGGCACGUCGGCAUGAUGAAGGAACUGGGGCUCAUGCCGUGUUGGUUCCCCUCCUUCACGCCAGUGCUUGAAACAAAGGUGAGCCUCUGGUGUGUGCUGGGAUCCUUGGGGUGUCCUCCCGAAGGAAAUGAGGAAGCAGCAUGGACUUGGGGUCACCCAGCCAAGCUAGUUGGCUUGACAGCCAGUUGAUCUUCAGCCAGUUUGUUUGAAAUGUCCACCUCAGAGGUGUCAUUAUAAGGGCUUGGCACAGAGCACGGGACCCUUAGACCUUCUAUGUCAAAUCUCCCACGGAAGAGGUUAUUCUGCCUAGAGAUGGUGAAGACCCACUGGAGGCUGCAAGAAUCCCUAGACUUAAGCUCACUGAAGGGCACAUGAUGCCCUCAUGUGGUUAAAACUAGAUUUGUUUGAGAAAAUUUAAGUUAAAAAACAUUCUUUUUAACUAUACAACCAUGUUUUGAGGUUCAGGCUAUUCUGGUAAUAUUGCUGUGGCUGUUCACUAGCAGCUUCUGAUGUGUAUGUAGAACUUCAGUUUCAGCUCUCAGAGGAUGCUAACCAAGACACAAAUGCCUCAUUUAAAAAAUUACAAAGGAAAGUAGUGGGUAAUUGCAGUGUUGCCACAUGUAAUAAAGAAGAGAAAGACGAGCCCCACUUUGGACACUAUGAAUUAAAUACAACAGGCCACACAGAACAAUUUGACAUGGUUCUACCUGGCGGCUCUGAUUUGAGAUCUCUUAUAUAAAGGCCCGGCUCUGUCACCCUCUCCACAGGCUGCAGAAGAAUGGCCUUUGAAGUCCUGUGCCCUCCCCCAGAACUUGGAAUUUCUGUCUUAAUUUUGUAACAAAGGAGGUAUAUUUAAGGGAAGAGACAGCCAGUCCAUGGCUGAACAAAAAAAAAUCAGAAAAAAGCAAACACAUCCGACUUCUGAAGAUUUUGGAGACUGGAGACUUUAAGCUUGUAUUUCAAGAUCAUGUUCUCUCUAGAAAAUGGGCCUCCUUAAGUUGAUUUUAGCUGGUGCAGGACUGUGGGUCCUUGGAUGGUACGCCCUGCUGGUCAACCCCGAGGACACAUGGGAGUUAGGACAGUGUAGAAUGUCUGUGAUUCAUGCCUGAGCCAGGCGUGGAAUGUUUUUUAAACUUCAGGUCACUGCACACUUAGAUAGUUCAAAUGAACUACUUAAAUGUCACACCUGUGAGGACAGAGAAUGGACAGAAGUUUGUUCCCUAUGGCUGGCCCAUCCACCGCUGGGCAAAACCACCCGCAUGGCUAUCAAAGUCAGGGGCACUGGAGCCACCAGGCCAGACCCAAAGAAGAACCCCAGGCCUAGACAUCUCCAUUCUUUACCAUGCCCCAGGUGCUCUUUCUCUGUUUGGUCUGAAGCUCAGGGUAUUGUCUAAGCCAGCGUUUCUCAGAUUUCAGGAUUUCACAGACCAGUGGAAUUAACAAGAACCCUCUGGACUCACUGGGAGUUGCAGUCUGUUCCUGCGUGAAGAAUAAGGAAAAGGGGUGGCCAUCUCCCUUCACCUUCACCCUGGUUUCCUAAAGCAUGAUGUGCGCUUGCUUGACUUUGCAAACACCUCUGCACUAGUUU